AAUAAUUUAAGGGAAUUACGAGGUUUUCUUGGCUUAACAGGCUACUACAGGAAGGACAUAACGGUAUGGUUUCAAAACAUAUGUC